rnacentral:rRNA from 1 species
UACGUAGGGGGCAAGCGUUAUCCGGAUUUACUGGGUGUAAAGGGAGCGUAGACGGCAAUGCAAGUCGGAAGUGAAAUACCCGGGCUCAACCUGGGAACUGCUUUGGAAACUGUAUGGCUGGAGUGCUGGAGAGGUAAGCGGAAUUCCUAGUGUAGCGGUGAAAUGCGUAGAUAUUAGGAGGAACACCAGUGGCGAAGGCGGCUUACUGGACAGUAACUGACGUUGAGGCUCGAAAGCGUGGGGAGCAAACAGG